rnacentral:sRNA from 1 species
ACGAAGUUGAAUAUCAAAGACAGUGCCCUUGAAUUAGCUUUGGCCUUUGCCUCUUCUGCAUCAUUCCAUUGAUCUUUAGUUUUUAGCACAUCUUCUCCAUCUUCUCCCUUGAUGACCGGAGCCUUCCACCCAAUGCUCGUAGCAAUCCAAGCUUCCUUUCCUAGACCACGUAUGAGAGCUCUCAUCUUCACUUUCCAGUGUCCAUAAUUUCCUUUUUCCAACAUGAUUGUUUUACCGACCGCAACGAACUCUUUGGGGUAGUCCAUCCUCUCCGUAGGAUCUGCACCUGUUGUUAAGUACAACUUUGUUCAGAUGCCCGCUCUGAUACCAAAUGAAAUUCCGGAUGAACCAAGAAUCGUAUUCCCCAAACUCAGAACCACUGAGUAUCACUUUAUUAGAAAUCUGAUUAAGAAGUUUACAACUACCUUAAUUGGUUUUACACAAGAUCUAAACUACUUUAGCUUGUCACCUGAGAUUUUCCUAAACACACAAGAGCAGAUCACAAGAACACACUCUUUGAUCUCUCUAGAAUUCCAAUCAGACUAAACCUUAGUCUCUAAUAAUGAAAAGCGUUG